rnacentral:tRNA from 1 species
CGCGUAGCUCAGUGGUAGAGCAUCUGCCUUUUAAGCAGAGGGUCGGUGGUUCGAGACCACCC